AAAUGCCAAAUUUAAGUCAUUGCUCUUCAUUCUUCCACUGGAGUUAAUCCCUCUCUAAGGAAUCUUAUCACUGCUUCAAAAAACAAAAUCUCGAGGAGGAUACUAUGGAAAGAUCAUAUGUAGAGAUGAGGAAGUCCAUAUGUCUACAGUCCAAAGUAGGGUUGCUCCCCCAUCCUGUUCAUGUCAGAGACUGGUACUGGUCAUGGUCUGAGGGACCAGAGCUGCCAUUUGCCCACCUCAUCAUGUUUCCCUCCUAUAGGCAUUGAACCAUAGCUUGUCAUGAACUUUUGACCUUUCCUUAAUUCUCCUUGGAGACUCACAAAACAUGAACAUUAAAUACCCAAGAUAAUUGCUUAUCUGUAAGUGUUUGCAGCAAGAAGAACCCUGGGGAUAUAUUCUUGCAUUUCCCAUUACAGAGUUGCUCUGCAAGCAUUUCUGCAGUGUGACAGGGCAUCCAGAGACUGCCAAUAAAGGCAGGAGACCAUCUAAUCCCCUCUGGAAAGAAAUGGGACCACCAUCUGGCCUGACUGAUCCAGUAUUAAAGCUUUCACACUGGACUCCUCACAUUUCUCCAAUGGGGGGAGAGGGAAGAAUUCUCUGUAACUCAUAUGAGGAAACUGAGAUCCAUCUCUCAGGAUGCAAGGAGGAAAAGAAGGUUAUGGUUCACAAUCUAAACAACCUACUGACUGGACAUCAUGAGGGACUAUAAGAACAAUGGAAAUCACAGACUGACUUGUUAGGAAAUGGCCAAGGAAGGUCUGCCAGAAGCUUUACUAUGGAUGAAGAACCUGACCAGUUGCCAAAGAUAGACUCCAAGAGAGGGGAUUUCUGUUGACAUUUUUUUCUCUCUGUGUUUUGUUAGGCUUGUUUUUGUUGGCCUGGAGAACCAUCAGCCUGGGACAGCAGGACAACUGUGAGCCAAGGGGCGGUCCAUUCACACCCAAGGGAUUGAGGGUAUUUCACCAAGUUAGCUGCAGCUUAAAAGGACGGCUGCCGAGCUGUCUUGCUCUUUCUGUUUUUGUUUUCCCUGAGAUAAUAAAUAAAGGCUCCCUCCA
rnacentral:lncRNA from 1 species